AAUUUAUAUAACCAUAAAUACCACUACUAUCAUAAGAACAAAACAUUUUUCCCCCUUAGUACGGGAGACAGAAAAGGAACAAUUGAAGCCAUAGACAAAGUACCGCAAGGGAAAGCUGAAAGA
rnacentral:rRNA from 1 species